rnacentral:rRNA from 1 species
CCUACGGGAGGCAGCAGUGGGGAAUAUUGGGCAAUGGGCGCAAGCCUGACCCAGCAACGCCGCGUGAAGGAAGAAGGCUUUCGGGUUGUAAACUUCUUUUCUCAGGGACGAAGCAAGUGACGGUACCUGAGGAAUAAGCCACGGCUAACUACGUGCCAGCAGCCGCGGUCAUACGUAGGUGGCAAGCGUUAUCCGGAUGUACUGGGUGUAAAGGGCGUGUAGGCGGGACUGCAAGUCAGAUGUGAAAACCACGGGCUCAACCUGUGGCCUGCAUUGGAAACUGUAGUUCUUGAGUACUGGAGAGGCAGACGGAAUUCCUGGUGUAGCGGUGAAAUGCGUAGAUAUUAGGAGGAACACCAGUGGCGAAGGCGGUCUGCUGGACAGCAACUGACGCUGAGGCGCGAAAGCGUGGGGAGCAAACAGGAUUAGAUACCCGUGUAGUC